GGGCCCGUAGCUCAGCUUGGAUAGAGCGGCAGACUUCUAAUCUGAAGGUCGUGGGUUCAAAUCCCACCGGGCUCG
rnacentral:tRNA from 1 species